UAGGGAAUCUUCGGCAAUGGGGGGAACCCUGACCGAGCAACGCCGCGUGAGUGAAGAAGGUUUUCGGAUCGUAAAGCUCUGUUGUUAAGGAAGAACGUGUGUGAGAGUGGAAAGUUCACACAGUGACGGUACUUAACCAGAAAGGGACGGCUAACUACGUGCCAGCAGCCGCGGUAAUACGUAGGUCCCGAGCGUUGUCCGGAUUUAUUGGGCGUAAAGCGAGCGCAGGCGGUUAGAUAAGUCUGAAGUGAAAGGCAGUGGCUCAACCAUUGUAGGCUUUGGAAACUGUUUAACUUGAGUGCAGAAGGGGAGAGUGGAAUUCCAUGUGUAGCGGUGAAAUGCGUAGAUAUAUGGAGGAACACCGGUGGCGAAAGCGGCUCUCUGGUCUGUAACUGACGCUGAGGCUCGAAAGCGUGGGGAGCGAACAGGAUUAGAUACCCUGGUAGUCCACGCCGUAAACGAUGAGUGCUAGGUGUUAGGUCCUUUCCGGGACUUAGUGCCGCAGCUAACGCAUUAAGCACUCCGCCUGGGGAGUACGACCGCAAGGUUGA
rnacentral:rRNA from 1 species